AAUUAUUAUUAAUCAUUUAUAACACACCAGGAAGCUAACUUUAAGGUAGCCAUUGUUAUUUCAAUCGUUAUUUAUUACAUCAAAUAUAUUUAUUGGUAUGUGUGGAUGUGUUGGUAUAUUUGAAACAGAACUUUGUCGAGACAUUAAACUUUACGAAACGUAGAAUAUACAAUAUAGUUAUCUUUUAACAAAAUUCCUUUUAAAUGCUGAUUUUUGAAGAAUUAUUGGUUUCUUAGCAAAAAUACCUAUAGA